rnacentral:tmRNA from 1 species
GGGGGCGAUCUGGCUUCGACGUUGGUUACAAACCCUAAGGUGCAUGUCGAGGACGCAACUUUGCCUCGUUAAUCAUGUUGCAAACUUAUAGUUGCAAACGACGACUAUAUCUCCGCUAAAGACGUUGCGAUUGCUGCCUAACCGGUAGUAAAUUUUCAACGUUGUGCCGCCUAAACAGCGGCUAGCGCCAUGAACUUCAUAGGCUUGUAUGUGGAGGGAUUGGUCAUAACUGACAAGCUCGUAGCCUAGCCUGUCUGGGGCGAAUGCUACUAAAACCAAUCAGACUCGUUGAUGAGUUCCCUGUCUAUCGGAGAUUUAUCGAUUAAAUUUAAAGAUUGACUAAACAUGUAGUGCCAAGGGCAGCGGACUGGCGGACGUGGGUUCGAUUCCCACCGCCUCCACCA